GAUUAGCCAUGCUAGUCGCACGAGCUUAGACUCGUGGCAUAUAGCUCAGUAACACGUGGCCAAACUACCCUACAGACCGCAAUAACCUCGGGAAACUGAGGCCAAUAGCGGAUAUAACUCUCAGGCUGGAGUGCCGAGAGUUAGAAACGUUCCGGCGCUGUAGGAUGUGGCUGCGGCCGAUUAGGUAGAUGGUGGGGUAACGGCCCACCAUGCCGAUAAUCGGUACAGGUUGUGAGAGCAAGAGCCUGGAGACGGUAUCUGAGACAAGAUACCGGGCCCUACGGGGCGCAGCAGGCGCGAAACCUUUACACUGCACGACAGUGCGAUAGGGGGACUCCGAGUGUGAGGGCAUAUAGCCCUCGCUUUUCUGUACCGUAAGGUGGUACAAGAACAAGGACUGGGCAAGACCGGUGCCAGCCGCCGCGGUAAUACCGGCAGUCCAAGUGAUGGCCGAUAUUAUUGGGCCUAAAGCGUCCGUAGCUUGCUGUGUAAGUCCAUUGGGAAAUCGACCAGCUCAACUGGUCGACGUCCGGUGGAAACUACACAGCUUGGGGCCGAGAGACUCAACGGGUACGUCUGGGGUAGGAGUGAAAUCCUAUAAUCCUGGACGGACCACC
rnacentral:rRNA from 2 species